UACGUAGGGGGCAAGCGUUGUCCGGAUUUAUUGGGCGUAAAGAGCGUGUAGGCGGCCAGGGAGGUCCGUUGUGAAAACUCGAGGCUCAACCUCGAGACGCCGAUGGAAACCCCCUGGCUAGAGUCCGGAAGAGGAGAGUGGAAUUCCUGGUGUAGCGGUGAAAUGCGCAGAUAUCAGGAGGAACACCGGUGGCGAAGGCGGUUCUCUGGGCAUGAUCUGACGCUGAGGAGCGAAAGUGUGGGGAGCGAACAGG
rnacentral:rRNA from 1 species